rnacentral:rRNA from 1 species
GGUAUUGAAAUAAGAUUUUAAAUGAGUGCUAAGAGAAUGAUUAAACAAUUAAAAGCUUUCUUUAAUUAAAUAAUUAAAUUUAAUUUUUUUAGUGCAAAAGCAAAAAUGAAAUUUAGGGACAAGAAGACCCUAUGAAUUUUUAUUGUUAAUGAUUUAAAUUUUAAUUAUUAACAAUUUAAUUGGGGUGAUAAAAAAAGAAUAAGUAUCUUUUUAAUUAUAAAAUAAGUUCAGUUUUUAGCGAUUAAAUGAAAUAAAUACUCUAGGGAUAACAGCGUAAUAAUUUUGGAUAGUUCAUAUAGAUAAAAUAGUUUGCGACCUCGAUGUUGGAUUAGGAUUCUUUUUUGGUGAAGAA